rnacentral:rRNA from 1 species
GAAAGGUUGACCUCGGAUCAGGUAGGAAUACCCGCUGAACUUAAGCAUAUCAAUAAGCGGAGGAAAAGAAACCAACAGGGAUUGCCCCAGUAACGGCGAGUGAAGCGGCAACAGCUCAAAUUUGAAAUCUGGCCCCCAGGGCCCGAGUUGUAAUUUGGAGAGGAUGCUUUUGGCGAGGCGCCGCCCGAGUUCCCUGGAACGGGACGCCGCAGAGGGUGAGAGCCCCGUCUGGCUGGCCGCCGAGCCUCUGUAAAGCUCCUUCGACGAGUCGAGUAGUUUGGGAAUGCUGCUCAAAAUGGGAGGUAUAUGUCUUCUAAAGCUAAAUAUAGGCCAGAGACCGAUAGCGCACAAGUAGAGUGAUCGAAAGAUGAAAAGCACUUUGAAAAGAGGGUUAAACAGUACGUGAAAUUGUUGAAAGGGAAGCGCUCGUGACCAGACUUGGGCCUGGCGGAUCAUCCGGCGUUCUCGCCGGUGCACUUCGCCCGGCCCAGGCCAGCAUCAGUUCGCCCCGGGGGACAAAGGCGGCGGGAAUGUGGCUCCCUCGGGAGUGUUAUAGCCCGCCGCGCAAUGCCCUGGGGCGGACUGAGGUUCGCGCGUCCGCAAGGAUGCUGGCGUAAUGGUCACCAGCGACCCGUCUUGAAACACGGACCAAGGAGUCGUCCUCGUAUGCGAGUGUUCGGGUGUCAAACCCCUACGCGUAAUGAAAGUGAACGCAGGUGAGAGCUUCGGCGCAUCAUCGACCGAUCCUGAUGUUCUCGGAUGGAUUUGAGUAAGAGCAUACGGGGCCGGACCCGAAAGAAGGUGAACUAUGCCUGUAUAGGGUGAAGCCAGAGGAAACUCUGGUGGAGGCUCGCAGCGGUUCUGACGUGCAAAUCGAUCGUCAAAUAUGGGCAUGGGGGCGAAAGACUAAUCGAACCUUCUAGUAGCUGGUUUCCGCCGAAGU